UAACCUGCCCAAGAGAUCGGGAUAACACCUGGAAACAGAUGCUAAUACCGGAUAACAACAGAUGAUGCCUAUCAACUGUUUAAAAGAUGGUUCUGCUAUCACUCUUGGAUGGACCUGCGGUGCAUUAGCUAGUUGGUAGGGUAAAGGCCUACCAAGGCGAUGAUGCAUAGCCGAGUUGAGAGACUGAUCGGCCACAUUGGGACUGAGACACGGCCCAAACUCCUACGGGAGGCAGCAGCA
rnacentral:rRNA from 1 species